rnacentral:rRNA from 1 species
GACGAACGCUGGCGGCGUGCUUAACACAUGCAAGUCGAACGCUGAAGCUCAGCUUUUGUUGGGUGGAUGAGUGGCGAACGGGUGAGUAACACGUGAGUAACCUGCCUCCUUCUUUGGGAUAACGCCCGGAAACGGGUGCUAAUACUGGAUAUUCACUGGUCUUCGCAUGGGGGUUGGUGGAAAGGGUUUUUCUGGUGGGGGAUGGGCUCGCGGCCUAUCAGCUUGUUGGUGGGGUGAUGGCCUACCAAGGCUUUGACGGGUAGCCGGCCUGAGAGGGUGACCGGUCACAUUGGGACUGAGAUACGGCCCAGACUCCUACGGGAGGCAGCAGUGGGGAGUAUUGCACAAUGGGCGCAAGCCUGAUGCAGCGACGCCGCGUGAGGGAUGGAGGCCUUCGGGUUGUGAACCUCUUUCGCUCAUGGUCAAGCCGCAACAAUGGUUGUGGUGAGGGUAGUGGGUAAAGAAGCGCCGGCUAACUACGUG